CAAUAGCGUAUAUUAAAGUUGUUGCAGUUAAAAAGCUCGUAGUUGGAUUUCGGAAUGGGCCCGUCGGUCCGCCGCAAGGUGAGUCACUGACUGGUUUGCUCUUCUUCGCAAAGACUGCGUGUGCUCUUCGCUGAGUGUGCGUAGGAUUUACGACGUUUACUUUGAAAAAAUUAGAGUGUUCAAAGCAGGCUUUAGCUUGAAUACAUGAGCAUGGAAUAAUGGAAUAGGACUUUGGUUCUAUUUUGUUGGUUUCUAGGACCGAAGUAAUGAUUAAGAGGGACAAUUGGGGGCAUCCGUAUUUCGUUGUCAGAGGUGAAAUUCUUGGAUUUACGAAAGACGAACAACUGCGAAAGCACUUGCCAAGAGUGUUUUCAUUAA
rnacentral:rRNA from 1 species